rnacentral:rRNA from 1 species
GACAGAGGUCCCGAGCGUUGUUCGGAUUCAUUGGGCGUAAAGGGUGUGUAGGAGGCUAGGUAAGUCAGGUGUGAAAUCUCAGAGCUUAACUCUGAAACUGCGCUUGAUACUGCUUGGCUAGAGGAUCGGAGGGGGUAACGGAAUUUAUGGUGUAGCAGUGAAAUGCGUAGAUAUCAUAAGGAACACCGGUGGCGAAGGCGGGUCUCUGGGCCGAAACUGACGCUGAGGAGCGAAAGCGUGGGUAGCAAACGGG